rnacentral:rRNA from 1 species
UACAGAGGUGGCAAGCGUUGUUCGGAAUUACUGGGCGUAAAGGGCGCGUAGGCGGUCUUGUAAGUUCCGUGUGAAAUCCCUCGGCUCAACUGAGGAACCGCACGGAAAACUGCUUGGCUUGAGUUCGGGAGAGGGAAGCGGAAUUCCGGGUGUAGCGGUGAAAUGCGUAGAUAUCCGGAGGAACACCGGUGGCGAAGGCGGCUUCCUGGACCGACACUGACGCUGAGGCGCGAAAGCGUGGGGAGCGAACAGG